rnacentral:rRNA from 1 species
GACGUAGGAUGCAAGCGUUGUCCGGAAUUAUUGGGCGUAAAGCGUUCGUAGGCGGUCUGUCAAGUCUGAUGUUAAAUCCCGGAGCUCAACUCCGGUCAAGCAUUGGAUACUGACAAACUAGAGUACAGAAGAGGCAAGGGGAAUUCCUAGUGUAGCGGUGAAAUGCGUAGAUAUUAGGAGGAACACCGGUGGCGAAAGCGCCUUGCUGGGCUGUUACUGACGCUGAGGGACGAAAGCCAGGGGAGCAAAUGGG